rnacentral:rRNA from 1 species
GUUUUUUUGGUUCUUUAGGAGAUUGAUUCUGCUCAAUGAAUGUUUAAAUAGCUGCAGUAAAUUGACUGUACGAAGGUAGCAUAAUAAUUAGCUUAUUGGUUGUAAGCUGGUAUGAAUGAUUUGAUGAAAGAUUGACUGUCUAUGUAAUAUAAUAUUAUUUAAUUUUAUUUUUAAGUAAAAAAGCUUAAUAUAUUAUGAGGGACGAGAAGACCCUGUAGAAUUUUAUUUUAUAUAAUUAUUGAUUAUAUAAUAUGGUAUAUAUAUAUUUAUAUUUAUAUAAUGUUUAGUUGGGGUGAUUGGGAGAAUAAUUAAACUUUUUUUAUUAUAGUACAAUAAUAUUUGUUAGUGUGAUUUAGGUUUAUAAGAAAAGAUAAGUUACCUCAGGGAUAACAGCAUAAUUUUUAUGGAGAGUUCUAAUUAAUAUAAAAGUUUGUGACCUCGAUGUUGAAUUAGGAUAACUAUUAGGGGUAGUAUAUUAAUAAGUUGGUCUGUUCGACCAUUAAAGUCCUACA